UUGACAGGCUAAAAUAGAAAAUCACUAAAAGCACUUGGAUUUUUAUUCAUAUGAAACUCCUUGGUGCCCUCAUGUAGAAUCUAUUUAUUCUUUUGUUCUAUCUGGUUCACACUCAAAUCAAAUAUAUUUCCUAUUUUAGCUUUGGACUAUCUGGAAAACUCAAUUAUUAUACAAACUAACAUAUUCCCUCAAGUGUUCAUAUAGUUGUGAUUUUCCUGAAGUUUUCAAGUCAGGGAGGAUAUACUAACAGUAGAUAAAUUAUCUUGUUUUUACACUUUAUUCUUUCACUUUUUUGGCUUUGCCUCCUUCUUUCGAAGUCAGUUUUAGGCACUAAUAUCGCACAGCUUAUACUUUGAAACUCAUCUUAGUUUUCUGUUGAUUUACACUUCAAUCCUGCAUUUGGUUUGUGUGGUGCUUUCCCAAGGCGCAGGGUGGUAAGACAGAACUCUCUCUUAAUUUCUCUUCUGCCUUUACCUUUGGUCUCCACACUUGGAGUGGUCCUGUAAUUUUGUUUCUCUUUUUGCAAUCCCUAUCCAGAAUCACUGGAGGUCAAAUGUCUUUGCCAAUUUGAUUUUUUCCAUUUGAACAAGAAAAGACUGUGAAGGGAAAGCCAAUCAAUUUCACAAUGUUUAGAGGAAAGCAAGAAAAUGAAUGUUAUUCUCAGAAGAGAACUCAAAAAGGAUUUCUAUGAAGUUUCUGGCAGAAAACCAAGAAAUUUACAAAUAGAAUAAACUCCUGGAUCCAUAUUUCACACCUUACGAAAGCACUCCAACCCUCAAGGACAACUUCAACAGGAAACCUUACCUUUCAACUUAUCAAAUCUUCAAAGUGACUAGUUGUAUAGUACGACAAGCAGAAAAUUUGCUAUGGAGGUUGUGUUAACUGUUGACAUUUAUGUGAGAUUUUUGCUGCAUAUUUGUUAGAAAAGGCUCAACAAAAUUAUAAUAAACAAUGAUUGUGUUAUUUCUUUAACUGUUGUAUCAGUUAUAAAUGCUUGGAAUGAAAAUGCCUUAAGGAAAUUAGUCAAUAAUGUCACAUAUGUUACUUUUUCUAAUUGGAUCUGCCAUGAUUGCUAUAAAACUUUGUCCUUCCACUAUGAUUCAUGAGUAACUUCAAUAACAAACUGCUUGGGAAUUCCCAAUGCCACAGUAGAACCGGUAUAUGCAAACAUAAUUUAUUAUCAGGAUGCACAUAAAGGGAAACUAGGACAAAAAACCUACCGUUUCAAUUUGAUCUUGUUCUCUUAAGCAUGGAAAAAGAAUACUUGUUGCUAUAACUCAACAACUAAAACUCUUGUUUCUCAGGAGAAAAUGCAAAAAGAAAACCAGCUUGUCAUUUUUGGUUUUGCAAAUGCUAAUCAAAGUUGGUCUUUAUGCAAUUUUUCCCACUCUGAAAACUGACUGGUAACAGCAAAUCAGACUGUACCUCAAAAUGACCCCUUCAAAAGUGCUAAAAGCCUGUGUGCUUAUGUUUAUGUAUUUGUGAAUGAGGACCAAAUCCUUUUGUAUGCUGGGGAAGAAAAUUCCUUGACUCUUGGUCAUUAGCAAGUCAGUGUACUUUGGGUGCUCAUGUCACUAAAAUAUCUCAUUUUUCCCUCCAAUAACACCUUCUUCUGGCCAGAAGGAUUACAUUUACCCUAUUUCAAAAGGGAAACUCCUAGAGGACCUGAGGCAUAAAUAUGUCAUCUUCUGUCCAAUUAGUGUUUUUAUUUUGCCUGGAGUAGAACAUGGAGAAAUAUGAUCAUGAUUACUAAUUUCUCUCAAAUCCUAGGCAACGUAGCUGAUAUGGUUUAUCUCUGUGUCCCCACCAAAUCUCAUCUCGAAUUGUAAUCCCCACAUGUUGAGGGAGGGGAGUGAUUGGAUUAU